GUGCCAUGUUGGCGUGGAAUUUGUGGCAACACUUCCAGGCUGGCCCCGGCACAUCUUCACUGUCACAAACACGCAGAGCUCUGCAGAUGCUGGAAAUCCAAACCAACGCACACAGAAUGCUGGAGGAACUCAGCAGGCCAGGCAGCAUCUAUGAAAUAGUCUAAACCGUUGAUGUUUCGAGCCGAGACCCUUCAUCAGGACAUCCUUAGUGUUGGAUGGAAACACAAACAACGCAUUUCAUUGUAUUUCCAUGUACAUGUGGUAAAUAAAUCGGAAUCUGCAGGUGAAAGUACUCCCACAGAGUACAGAGGAGGUUCUAUCCAGUCACGGUGAAGGAAUGGCAAUGUAUUUCGAAGUUAAGGGGUGUCAUUUUUUUUUGCUGGGGUGGGACAUACAAAAUGACAGGUGGCCAAUUCAAUUGUACUAUUACUUUCCUUGGUGAGAAAGGUUGUUCUUUUGGGAGGUGCUGGCAAAAGGACCUAGGUGAGAAUGAUCAGUGUAUUAUAAAGACGGUAUAUACUGGAGCACAAUACUCUAGAAGUGAAUUGCAUACCAUCCAGGUGGGAUGAUUUGUCAUCGAUGAUGUUGAGUUUCUUAACUUCCUUGAAGUUGCUCCAGUGCAGGCAGGCGGAGUGUACUCAGUUCUGAUCGCCUCAUUGUAGAAAGGAUGUGGAAGCUUUGGAGAGGGUACAGAGGAUGUUGCCUGGAAUAGUGAGGUGGAGCAAGUUAUGGAACAAAGAGGAUGAGGGCUGAUUUGAUAGAGAUGCAGAAGAUCUGAUAGAGUGGACAGCCAGCACCUUUGCCCUAGCUGUCCAAGGGAGUGUAAGUUGAAACUAGUUUAGAUGCCGUACACUAGAGCUUGCUGUGUGACAGGGCAGCAGACGGUGCAACUGUCUCAGAGCUCCUGGUCAAUUCUGACCUCAGAUGCUAUCUGCUGGAACUUGCACGUGCUCCCUGUAACUGUGUCUUUCAACCAGGGUUUCAUGGAAAAAUGGGCUGUAGUAAAUGCACCCUGGUUUAAAUGGUUGAUGGAAAAAUUAGGGUGGCGUAUGGGCAAUCCAGGUUAAUUUAUUUAUCCCAUGAACAUUGAAACAUACAAUGAAAUGCAUCGUUUGCGUUAACAACCACACAAAGUAAGGAUGUGUUGGUGCAAGAAUAACCACACAUUCCAGUGUCAACAAUGUUCAGCAGAACAACGCAACCAGCAGCAACAGUGACCGAACAGGAGCAACUAAACAAUAACAGCAAAGUAAGCCCCAUUCCUCCCACACACGCACACAGACAGUCCUCCAACCCAAGGACAGGCUGUCUUCGGCAUAUAGCCUGCAAUGAACUCAGACUCACAUGCAUUGGGCCUUUGACUCCCCCAACGGACUCUCACGGGCUCUGGCCAUCAAGCCUCAACUUCCAGAUGUUGAAUUGACCUUCAGGCUUUGAUAUUGACCCAGGACUUGCCGAUGACAGCAAAUAAGGAACUCAAACUCCAAGCCUCAAACACUGGACUCUUUGAUGACUAGGACUCCAAGUGCUAGGCCCCCAAACGUUAGGCCUUGAAUUCCGGUCUCAUUGACAUGUCCCUAGGCCCUCCUGCCCGCCAGAACUCCAACGCUGGAACAUGCUAACGACUCGCUGACCUGGGGGCACUAGCCCUCAUCCUCGCUGGUCUGCCAGCCUGAAUAAUUUAAAGAGAAGUAAGUGCAGAAGAUCUAUUAUUUUAAACAUGGGCUAAAUCUAGUGAGCCUAGUGGCCUCUUUUUAUGUUAUCAGGAACUAUGAGAUCAUGUGAGACACUGAGCUAAUCACUUUGUUAUUGAUUUGGAUUUGAGCAUGAUGUGUGGUGUAUUGCAGAGCACUGGAAAUAGAUUCACCAGGAUCUUUGAAAUUGCAGAAGAGAAAAGGCUGCAGGGCUCUGGAGAAAGAGCAUAAGAGUGGAGAAAAGUAGAUCAAAGAGCUUGGGAACAAAAGAGAUGGUUGUUGACUCCAGGAGGGCACGGAGCGACCACUCCCCACUGAACAUCGACGGCUCCUUGGUAGAGAUCGUUAAGAGCACCAAAUUUCUUGGUGUUCACCUGGCGGAGAAUCUCACCUGGUCCCUCAACACCAGCAAGGAAAGCCCAGCAGUGUCUCUACUUUCUGUGAAGGCUGAGGAAAGUCCAUCUCCCACCCCCCCAUCCUCAUCACAUUCUACAGGGGUUGUAUUGAGAGCACCCUGAGCAGCUGCAUCACUGCCUGGUUCGGAAAUUGCGCCAUCUCGGAUUGCAAGACUCUGCAACGAAUAGUGAGGAUGCGGGUAAUACUGGCAGGGCCAGCACUUCUUGAGAAGCUGGUGAUGAAUCACCUUGGACAGGAGCAGCUUCUCCGGUGACGGCGUUGCCACGUUUUAUUGCAGAGGGAGUUCCUGAUGUGGACGCAUCAAUAAGGAAGGAAUGGCGAUGUAGUUCCAAGUCGGGAGCGCAUCUUGAAGGGCAAUGUGGAGGUGGUGGUGUCUGAAGCAUCUGCUGCCCUAGCUCUCUGUAGUUGAAACUGUAGGUUUAGGAGGUGUUGUUGAGCAGCCUAGGCAAGUACCUGGAGUGUAUUUUGUAAACAGUACACACUCUAGCCAACUAUGCUAGUGUUGGAGGGAAAAAUGUUUAAAGCGAUGGAUGUAUGUUAACAAAGCUGCAUGCCUAGUCCUUAACGGAGUUGAGCUUAUUUUUGUUUUGUUGUUUACUCAUUGAAAUAGAGAACAGCCCCUUCUGUCCCUUCAAGCCGCGCUGCCUGGCAACCCCCAAUGUAACCCCAGCCUAAUCACAAUGACCAAUUAACCUACCAACUGGUACACCGUCGGACUGUGGGAAGAAACCAGAGCGCCCAGAGGAAACAAACGCAGUUCGCAGAGGAAGCAUACAAGUCUUCACAACAGCGGGAAUUGAACCCUGGUCACGUCCACUGUGAAGCGUAGCACCAACCACUAUGCCACCAUGUCUCUAAGUCCCUUGGUGCUGUGCUCAUCCAGGCAAUGGAGAAUAUUCUGUCAUGCUCUGUCACGAAGGAAAGGCUUUGCGGUGUG